GAAGCUGACCAGACAGUCGCCGCUUCGUCGUCGUCCUUUCGGGUAGACGGGCGGAGGGGAGGAAAGUCCGGGCUCCAUAGGGCAGGGUGCCAGGUAACGCCUGGGGGGGAAACCCACGACCAGUGCAACAGAGAGCAAACCGCCGAUGGCCCACGUAAGUGGGAUCAGGUAAGGGUGAAAGGGUGCGGUAAGAGCGCACCGCGCGGCUGGUAACAGUCCGUGGCACGGUAAACUCCACCCGGAGCAAGGCCAAAUAGGGGUUCAUAAGGUACGGCCCGUACUGAACCCGGGUAGGCUGCUUGAGCCAGUGAGCGAUUGCUGGCCUAGAUGAAUGACUGUCCACGACAGAACCCGGCUUAUCGGUCAGUUUCACCU
rnacentral:RNase_P_RNA from 1 species